GAUGAACGCUGGCGGCGUGCCUAAUACAUGCAAGUCGAGCGAACGGACGAGAAGCUUGCUUCUCUGAUGUUAGCGGCGGACGGGUGAGUAACACGGGGAUAACCUACCUAUAAGACUGGGAUAACGUCGGGAAACCGGAGCUAAUACCGGAUAAUAUUGUGAACUGCAUGGUUCAAAAGUGAAAGACGGUCUUGCUGUCACUUAUAGAUGGAUCCGCGUUGCAUUAGCUAGUUGGUAAGGUAACGGCUUACCAAGGCAACGAUGCAUAGCCGACCUGAGAGGAUGAUCGGCCACACUGGAGCUGGGACACGGUCCAGAGUCCUACGGGAGGCAGCAGUAGGGAGUUUUCCGCAAUGGGCGAAAGCCUGACGGAGCAACGCCGCGUGAGUGCUGAAGGUAUUCGGAUCGUAAAACUCUGUUAUUAGGGAAGAACAUAUGUGUAAGUAACUGUGCACAUCUUGACGGCACCUAAUCAGAAAGACACGGCUAACUACGUG
rnacentral:rRNA from 1 species